GUGGGGUCAAAGGUUCCCUGAGGCCCCAGGGCCCCAACCUGUGGGCACCGAGCAGCAGUGGAGGAGACAGGAGGGGUCUGGGGAAUACAGGUGCUGGGCUGUGGCAGCCUGUGACGGAGAGGGGCAAAGAAGGCCGGGUGUGGGGCGGCGGCAGCCCUGAGUGCUCUCCUCCCAGAGCUGAUGUUCUGCCUUCGGGAAGGAAGGGCCAGGACAAGGAGUUGGUUCACAGUGGACCCUUUCUCCCUGGGAUUCCAUCAGUCCCCUGCUCCUGACGUCCCCUCCCCAACCCUGCCAUCUCUUGCCUCCCGCUCACCCCACCCCAUUCCCGCCCAAGUCAUCAGCAUUUUACAGAUGAAGGAACUGGGGAUCCGGAAAGGGUGAGCAUCUCCAGAUCACACCCCCAAACUUGGGUCCUGGUCCCUCUGGCCUCCAGGAGGCUGCUGUGUCCAGGGACCCAGGGUGUGGCUUAGCCGGGUCUGAGCAGCUGAGCAGAGGAGGUUCCCAGUGCUGGGAUCACACAAGUGCACCCUGUGCCCUCUGACCUCUGCCCCUCAGACCCCACCCAGUGCAGGAGACCUGGGGUCUCUAGGGGACAGGAAAUGAAUCUGAAAUGCUGCCUCUCCUGUGGAAGGGCCAGCUCAGAAGCCAGGUCACACACAGUGUCUAACCCCACUUCAGACCUUCGCCAAAGUUGCUCCUCAAACCGCACCUCCUCCAGGUCCUCACUGUCGGAUGUGGACAUUUACUACAUUAACACCAGCUCUGAGUCACUUCCUUUCAGUUGGUGGUUAUUUGGACUCCACCACCCUUCCGACCUGCUCCGGACACCAGCAGCCCUCAAACCAGCUCAGACACCUCCAAGUCCCCUCCAGCUCACCUCCCCGACCAGACCCACUUUUCUUUAUGACUGUCCCCGGUUUAGGCCAGUUUACUAUGACGUGUGCCUCCAGCAUCACCCCUGGGCCACAACCUCAGGCUUUCCACCUCCGCCUUGGCCUGAGCCACGUGGGGUCCCAGCUCAUUGGGAUCCACGCCUCACCUGAGCUCCAGCUCUUGGAGCUGAGAGGGAUGGUCACCAGGAGGGGGUGAGCCUGGAACCCUGGCGUUCUCCUCCCUCCCCGACCCCCAGCAUCCAACUCAGAGAUCCUCUUGGAGGCAGCCACCACCCUCCAUGUCCAUGGACACCCUCCAGUCUUCCAGACAUACCUGUUCCCAACUGUCUCCUGCUCUGCUUUGCUUUUGCUGUCCAUCCACCCCUGCACUUAGAGCAGCCAGAGCAAAUCCUGUCUCUCCCCCAGUCCUGCGGGGCUUCCGUGGCUCUGAGCACGCAGCCCACCAUCCUGGCCCCCUCUCCAGUGUCUCCCCUGCUGCCCUCACCCCACACCACCUCACCCAGACACAGAGGAUGCAUCCCAUGCCUCUGGCCUCUCUCCACCCUCGUCUUUCCCUCACAUCUGCUCAUCAAAGGCCCUAAUCAGACAGGAGCCUGCGGGUGAGAAGCACCUGCUGCCGUGGCUGGAGUUUGGAGCCAUAACAUCAGGGCCAAAGCCAAGUUUUGCCACAAACUUGCUGUGAGGUCUCAGGCCAGAAAUGGUCUACACAGAAAUACCUGUGUGUGGACACUCUGCUUCUGCUUUCCUUUCUAUCAGAAUGGCACCCACAUCAGUGGUUGGCUUUGAGUUUUAGAGGAGGCAACAACUGCGAAAAGUAUUGACGGGGAAGGGCAGGCUGCGCUCAGUGUCAGCUCUCUGGAGUUCACCAACACUUUCUCAGAGCCGUGGAGACCCCUGCCCGCCUCACAGCUCUGUUCUGAGGGCCAAGUUAGACGCUUGCCCUGUGGAGACCCAACCAGCUGGAGAAUGUGACAACUUGUGUGGCAUGCUGCUGUGACCGUGAUCCCAGGCUGUACAUCACAAUCAUUUGGGGACACUUCUUCUGCAUUGCAAUAUAUUGAAAACUCACAUACAUCAUGCAGCUCGUGCCACCUCCAUCCAAGGAGGUGACUCACAUUCUGCCCCAGCUCCUCUUCUAUGUACUCCUGGGGUGGGCGCAUGCAGGGAUGUCACCUCUAAGUGCUACUAUGAAAAUGUUGCCUGGAAGGCAAAAGCUUCUAGGAACCCCUGCAUUUCAAAGCAGAAGCCUUCCAGCUCACAGACGUCGGCCUGCCACUCACAUCUCUGCUUGGCCUGUUUUUGUAGCAUGUCCACCUCCCUCUCCAAUCUGGAGGACCUGCCCUUAGCCUGGAGGAGCUUGGCCAAGGACUCUACGCUCAGGGCCAGGGACUCCUCCGGACUUGCUCAUAGUUCCCCUCCUCAUCUCCAGCCAUGUCCACGGAUGCCCUGUCCCCUGGCAAAUUCUUUAAAUCGUGUCUUUCCUGUGACGCCAAGUUGACAAGCAGAUUUUUCAGCUUUUGGUUUUCUUCUUCACACAGUUUUAGGGAAUCCUUUAGCUCAGAGACAUUCUCAGACAGAUUCUUACUAAUUUCCCUGCUGAUGUUAAGAGCUGUUUUUGUCAAUUUCAGCUUUCCCUCAAAGCCUGUCAAACCUUUAUAAAUCGGAUUUCCAUGGACAGCUCUUCCAACUCUGGUUAUUCUCUGGUUUGAAGGCAUGGCAGCCUUUGCUCCCUCUGAACAAGAGAACUCCCAGAAGAAAAAGGCUCCCCAAGGGAUAUGCCACCAGGACAGCUGAAGUUGGUCCCAGGCCAGAGGUCUUCAGGCCAUGAGCCCACCAGCACCUCAGCACAGUGACCCAUCAGGGGGACCGCACUCUGAAUGGCCCCAAGCACUGGCUAGGCCACAAACCAUGGACGUUUCUGAGCCUGGCUCCAACAGAGGCAGCAACCUCUGCCCUCACAGACAGCCGCUGACCUGGUCCCUCCACUGGAAGAUGGAUUUCCGCCUGGACUGGUGGCUUCAGAUUUCUCAUGUCUGGGUCAAGAUGCCCACAUUUUUGUGUUCAGGUUGUUUUGUCGAGUUUUCUGGGCUUCCUUCUGUUUUACAGAUUGAUUGAAUCGUGGUGGGGUUUGGGGGCAGCUGGGACUGGUUCUUCUCUUUCUGGUGGUUGGGGCACCACCUGGGGGCCAGGGACAUGGCCAGGGCCAAGGUAGCCAGGAGGCAAUGCGAAGUUUCCGAGGCUGCUUUUCUCACUCUCUGCAACUUCUGACCUCAGAUUGUCUGAGUGCAGCAUGGUUGAGGGGGUGGCACAUGACUGGUAUUCGGUAUUUUUUUUCUACCAGGUAGCAGCCUCUUCCAGCCAGCUCACCUGGGCCUGGCAGGGGUGCUGACCAUCCCAGGCAGAGGAGGGCUCAUCGCAGAACGAAAAGGGAAAACUUGGGGCCAGACACCUGGUGUGCAACUGGGUUGGGGGGUCAUUGGUAGCUCUUUGUUGCGCUGGGGGUGGGAGGCUCCUAGUUGGCUAGGUGUCCAGGGUGCUCACUGACCCUGUGCUGAGCUGGCUCAGAGGGCUCCUGAUUGGCCGGGUGUCUGCUGCUGUGUGCUGACGUGGUCGGAGGGCUCUCAGAUAUCCUAUCCUGAAUCUAGUUUCGAUGCCGGAGAUCUGAAGGUCCCUGGGCCACCAGCACCUCAGGUGAGUGGUCUGUUGUACUCUGACUCCAAAUGGGAAUGUAGGUGAGGAGCGCCUCCGGGUUUGGGUCCCUGAGGCGCCAGAUGCAGGUGCGGGCCUCGCGGGACCGCAGAGGGGCAGGAUGGUGUGGCGAACAGGAAGGUGAAGCCCAUAGUGUGGGUGAGAGGCCUGGGGCGGGACGAUGGGUGGAGGGCGCGCUGUCCUUCGGGUUGAAGAAUGUGGUGGAGAUAGCGAAGUGAAGGAGUAGAGGCGGAGGUGCCCUGUCUCUCAGCAAGGCCUCAGAUAGGUGCCACGGCUUUUAUAACCACCCUGACUCGUCACAAUGCCUCCCUGUGACGUCACAGCUGCGCUCCUGGCCAAUCGCCAAGUGAUUCUCAGCUGGUCUUGCUUGUGCGGCCAAUCACCACGGAGCUUGGCGGGCCAAUCGCCAGGCGGCUCUCACUGUGGCCCUCUUGACGUCACGACCCUGACACCAUCUCCCAUCCCCUAGGGGUGGGGGGUGUUCACACCGACCCUUGCCCAUUGCAGCACCCAGUUCUCGCUCCUCCUUCGCACAGCCUUCCUUUCACAGGUGGAGCAAAUGGGGGUGGGGGCAGUGACCGGCCCACUCAGGGCAGCCACCUGGUGCUCCCAGGACCACGGGAUCUGAGAGCUGGCGUAAGGGGGGCUGUUCCUCACGUGAUGUGAGUCCUCCCUGGGGACCCGCCCAUCGCCAAAGCUCCGCCCAGGCGUUUCCAUGGUGACCCUAACCACACCCCGGAUUCUGAGGUUCCCUUUGCUGCCUAAGCUUCUCCCAUCUGAUAUCAGUUCUGAGGAGGGGACCUCUGGGAAACGGAAAUCAGUGCGGGGUGGGUGGGCUGCUGUCCGAGGGCCUCGGUGAGAGCCUCUGGAAGAGGAUCCCAGAGGAGCUGCCAUGGCCUGCCCCUGCUGACAGGGUGAAUAAACGCUGGAGCCUCCUGACUCUGGACUCGGAACUUAUGCAAGGGAUGAGCAGCUGACCAUAAAUUUGGAGAUUUGGUGUUGUAGGAAUCUCCCUCCCAUUUUCUACUGGGAAAGAUUAACAUUAUACAUGACCAUAAUAAUUUGCUGAAAGUUGUCUUUGCUGUUGCUGCCAAAGACAGAUGGAGAGGAUUAUUUGAGAGAAAAGAUCAAGAAAAUAGAUCUUUUUGAAGAAAUAUGAAAGAAGGAAGCCAAUCCUUGGUGACAGCAUACUAGACAGUCAAGCUGACUUUAAGAACAUGCAAGUGAGUCCAAAUAAUAGAAAAAUACCUAACCUUAUAUGAAAGUAUUGACACAUGGGCAUCUCGUGCAUAACUUUCUUGGGGAUGUUGUUGAAUGUGGUAUAUAUGAUGGGAAACACCCUUGAAAGCGCAGAGAAGCUGAUGACCAUAGACUACAAAGGGAUCAAUUGAAGAGAGAAAAAUGGAUCUGCUCUGGUGAAGAAAGCCUAUGUAGAAGAGAAAGGGUCAUCCAGGGUCCUACAAUAGCAUUUGGAACAUAUCUUGGGCUCCAUAAACAUCUCUCAAUGGAAUGCUAGAAGUUGAAUGGCAUGAAGAUAUGGGAUAUAAUUACCCAGAUUGUUCCUACCAACCCUGAUCCUGGAGGUGGUUCUAAGUCACAGGUUCCUACUACGUGAAUACUGCUCAGAGCCGCUGACCUUUACUAUUUUCUGGCUGUAGUCUCAAAGGCCAAGAUAUGAUCAACAAAGGCUGAAAACUGAACCCAUUUCUGAGUGCAGGCUCUAUGAUAUGAUGGAGAAUGCACUUAGCCUCACCGCUGAAACAAAGCAAACAAUAAAUGUUAGUUAUCUCUGUCAUUACUAUUGCUAUUAUUAUCAUUCUAACAACGGGCAAUCUCAGAGUUGCUUUGCUGAAGGCUAUGCAAGCUCGUAGCGUAAAACAUCUCUGCCUUGUAAUACAUUAAAGAGGAAAUUAGAACAGAA
rnacentral:lncRNA from 1 species